rnacentral:tRNA from 1 species
UGCCCCGUAGCCAAGCGGUAAGGCUGUGCGCUCUGACCGCACCAUGCGCUAGUUCGAAUCUAGCCGGGGCAG